rnacentral:tRNA from 1 species
UCUAAUAUGGCAGAAUUUAUAUGCAAUGAACUUAAAAUUCAUYUAUAAAGAAUAAUCUUUUUUUAGAA